rfam:Smithella sp. ME-1 CONTIG_12781, whole genome shotgun sequence.
GGCGAAAUCUCGCAAGAGAGAUCAAAGUUAUAGGGUCAAGUGACUAAGAGCAUGUGGUGGAUGCCUUGGCGAUGAUAGGCGACGAAAGACGUGAUAGCCUGCGAUAAGCUUCGGGGAGCUGGCAAAUUAGCUUUGAUCCGGAGAUUUCUCGUAGUCCGGAUCGCAGUCUGCAACUCGACUGCGUGAAGUCGGAAUCGCUAGUAAUCGCGGAUCAGCAUGCCGCGGUGAAUACGUUCCCGGGUCUUGUACACACCGCCCGUCACACCAUGGGAGCGGGUCUCGCCAGAAGUAGGUAGCCUAACCGCAAGGAGGGCGCUUACCACGGCGGGGUUCGUGACUGGGGUGAAGUCGUAACAAGGUAGCCGUAUCGGAAGG